GGUUUGAUUCUGGCUCUGAUUGAACGCUGGCGGGAUGCUUUACACAUGCAAGUCGAAACGGCAGCACGGACUUCGGUCUGGUAGGCGAGGGCGAACGGGUGAGUAAUGUAUCGGAACGCCUAGUAGCGGGGGAUAACUACGCGAAAGCGUAGCUACUACCGUAUACGCCCUUCGGGGGAAAGCGGGGAUCUUCGGGCCUCGCACUAUUAGAGCGGCCGAUAUCGGAUUAGCUAGUUGGUGGGGCAAUGGCUCACUAAGGCGACGAUCCGUAGCUGGUUUGAGAGGACGACCAGCCACACUGGGACUGAGACACGGCCCAGACUCCUACGGGAGCAGGCAGUGGGGAAUUUUGACAAAUUAUGGGGAAACCCUGAUCCAGCCAUCCCCGCGUGUGCGAUGAAGGCCUUCGGGUUGUAAAGCAAUUUUUGGCAGUGGAGCAGGUACCGGCACGGAUAAUACCCCGUGCAACUGACGGUACCUGCAGAAUAGCGACCGGCUAACUACGUGCCAGCAGCCGCGGUAAUGUCAUUUGUGCUAUGCAAGCGUUAAUCGGAAUUACUGGGCGGUGCGUGCGCAGGCGUAUUCCUGGAAAGAUGGGAAUCCCAGAGCGACCUUGAACUGCAUUUUUAACUACCGAGCUAGGAGUAAAGCAGAGGGAGGUGGAAUUCCGCGUGUAGGCAGUGAAAAGUAGAUAUGCGGAGGACCAUUCGAUGGCGAAGGCAGCUUCCUUGGAUACCACCGACGCUCAUGCACGAAAGCGUGGGGAGCAAACAGAUUAGAUACCUGGUAGUCCACGCCCAAACGAUGUCAACUAGCUGCUGGGGCCUUCGGGCCUUCGGUAGCGCAGCUAACGCGCGAAGUUGACCGCCUGGGGAGUACGGUCAAAGAUUAAAACUCAAAGAAUGGAUGUGGACUGCACAAGCGGUGGAUGAUGUGGAUUAAUCUAUGCAACGCGAAAAACCUUACCUACCCUUGACAUGUCUGGAAUCCCGAAGAGAUUUGGGAGUGCUCGCAAGAGAACCGGAACACAGGUGCUGAAGGUCGUCAGCUCGUGUCGUGAGAUGUUGGGUUAAGUCCCUGCAACGAGCGCAACCCUUUGCCGCCAGUUGCUACGAAAGGGCACUCUAUCGAGACUGCUGGUGUGACAAACCGGAGGAAGGUGGGAUGACGCAGUCUCAUGGCCCUUAUGGGUAGGACUUUGACGUCAUACAAUGGUCGGGACAGAGGGUCGCCAACCCGCGAGGGGAGCCAAUCCCAGAAACCCGAUCGUAGUCCGGAUCGCAGCAGGCCUGCAACUCGACUGCGUGAAGUCGGAAUCGCUAGCAAUCGCGGAUCAGCAUGUCGCGGUGAAGAUGCUCCGGUCUUGCAUUAUACCGCCCGUCACACCAUGGGAGUGGGUUUUACCAGAAGCUAGUUAGCCUAACCGUAAGGAGGGCGAUUACCACGGUAGGAUUCAUGACUGGGGUGAAGUCGUAAUACAAGGU
rnacentral:rRNA from 1 species